CCCUAGCCCUGAUAGCAGCGGCAUCCUUUUUGUUUUUUCUUUAAAAACAAAAAGAUAUAGCGGAUAGCAGGAAAUAGC
rnacentral:sRNA from 22 species